CGGUGCCAGGCUCUGUGUUAAACCCUUUGUACGCAUUCGUGCUCACACCAGUCCUGUGAAGUCGCUGCUCUGAUUAUCCUCGGUUUGCAGACAAGAUGCUGAGGUUCAGAAAGGUAAAGCGACUUGUCGGCGCUCAUAGAAGUUUCACUGGGGUGAAAAAGAAUUCUCUCCAGUACAUGUAUCUGAGAACACACAAAUACACAUGACUGAAUGCAGCCCCACUUCAUCCAUCCCAGUGAGUGGCAUCACCAUCUACUGCUUGCCUAAGCCGGAAGUCUCAAGAUCAUAUUUGACUACACUUUCACUUGACUUGAGCUUCAGGGUCUUUUCCAAUGAGUCAGCUCUUCUCAUCGGGUGGCAAAAGUAUUGGAGCUUCAGCUUCAGUAUCAAUCUUCUUUUUUUAAGAGGCUGAAGGAGAAGAAGCCAACCCCAUGAGGAGAACCAUCCAGACAUCUUCAAGGAUGGAAGGGAAAACUCAAGACACUUCUUGGAAGUGGAUCCCGCAGCCCUGGUGCCUGGCCCCUACCUCUGUUUCGAGUCCCAGCCAAACUCCAGUCCUGGAUGGUCCAUGAUCUAAGGGGCCGGGGUUCAUCACCUGCUUCUCUUCCCAGCCAUUGAGCCUGGGAAAGGAACCUGGGGCAGUUCUCCUGGUCAACAAGGGCCUGGUGCCUGUUGGGAACCAUGCUAUGACCUGGCCCCCCAGUGCCAGGUUUGUCUGUCUUCUCUUCUACUUAGACCCACAGAGGAUGGGGCCACCAGGUCAGAAGGGACCAUGGACCAGAGUGGUUGUCCUUCCAAGGAUCCUCUGGAGUGAAUCCAAGAGCAACCAAGCCUCAUCUGCUGUGAUGCUGCCUGAACCCCCUGGACCUACAAUUUGAGGAAAGGGGCCUUGUGAAAGCUGAGCACCGAAGAAUUGAUGCUUUUGAACUGUGGUGUUGGAGAAGACUCUUGAGAGUCCCUUGGACUGCAAGGAGAUCCAACCAGUCCAUUCUAAAGGAGAUAAGCCCUGGGUGUUCUU